GAUGAAGAACGUAGCGAAAUGCGAUAAGUAAUGUGAAUUGCAGAAUUCAGUGAAUCAUCGAAUCUUUGAACGCACAUUGCGCCCGCCAGUAUUCUGGCGGGCAUGCCUGUUCGAGCGUCAUUACAACCCUCAGGCCCCCGGGCCUGGCGUUGGGGAUCGGCGGAGCCCCCCGUGGGCACACGCCGUCCCCCAAAUACAGUGGCGGUCCCGCCGCAGCUUCCAUCGCGUAGUAGCUAACACCUCGCGACUGGAGAGCGGCGCGGCCACGCCGUAAAACACCCAACUCUUCUGAAGUUGACCUCGAAUCAGGUAGGAAUACCCGCUGAACUUAAGCACAUCAAUAAGCGGAGGA
rnacentral:misc_RNA from 1 species